CUCUUUCAGUUCUCCUGAUCUGCCCCCUGUCUUUCUUAAGAACACCUAGAGGAGGCAGACUCUCCUUAUCUGUGUAUCUCCUUAUCUCCAUAUCUGUGGCUCCCAAGGAUUCUAAGCUGUCACACUAGCCCAUACAUGGUCUUUAAGUAUUUGUUAAAAUUUAGGGGAUUUUCCUCUCACUUUUUGGCUGCUACUCUUCCUCCUGUACUCUGCCCAAAGCAAAAAAGGUCUGUAGGAGCUGUGCUUCUUGGCUUUCUAUAUCCUAAGUGGAACUGGAACUCAUUGAUUGCAUUUUUGUUGUCAACUCUUUUUUUUUUGAGGAAGAUUAGCCCUGAAUUAACUACUGUCAAUCCUCCUCUUUUUGCUGAGGAAGACUGGUCCUGAGCUAACAUCUGUACCCAUCUUCCUCUACUUUAUACAUGGGACACCUACCACAGCAUGGCUUUUGCCAAGCAGUGCCAUGUCCGCACCCAGGGUCUGAACUGGCAAACCCCAGGCUGCCGAGAAGUGGAACAUGUGAACUUAAUCACUGUGCCACUGUGCCGGCCCUGUUGUCAACUCUUGUUACUUGACAGCAAAUUGCUCUGCAAUUUGUUCAGUAGGUUCAAAGAGAUAAAACACAAGAUUGAUAAUUAUGGAAACCUUAAAAAGGAACCGAAUCCCAAACCAAAAACAUAUAGUAGUGGAAAUUAACUCAGUGGAAGUGUUUUAUAGCAAAUAAGACAUCAACGAAGAGAUAUUUAAGAUUAUAAAGAAGAAUAUCUCUAGAAGGAAACAUGGAGAGAAACGAGUUUGGAAAUACAGGUGAGGGAUAAGAGAUACAGGAUGCAGUAAGAAGAUUUGAUAUAAAUGUAUUUAGAGUCCCUGAAGCAAGGGAGAGAGAAAAUGGGACAGAAGCAAUUUUUGAGAAGAUAACAGCUGAGAAUUUUCCACAACUGGUGAAAAACAUUGUCGCGGAUUAAGAAUUUAAAACAAGUCAGAAAAUCUAGGCACGUUCAUAAUAAAUGAAAACCAAAGAGAAAAUCCUUCAAAAUAGCUAGAGAAAAAAGACAUUACCUUGGAAAGAGCAAUAAUUAAACUUAUUGCUGGUUUCUCAAGAGAAAUAAUGAAAGCCAGAAGACAAAUGGAAUAUUUUCAAAGUGCUGAAAGAAAGUAACUGACAAGCUAGAGUUUUAUGCCCAGCAAAAAAUGUUCCUCAAAAUUAAAAGAGAAUUAAAGGCAUUUCUGGACAUAAAGACUGAGAGAUUUAUCAUGAGCAGGCCUGCAUUAAAGGAAAUACUUAAGAUAGUUCUUCAGGCAGAAGUAAAAAGAACCUAGAUGGAAACUCAGAGAUAUAAGAAGAAAAGGUUGAUGAAGAAGGUAAAAAUAUGUGGAUAGAUCUAAAUAAAUAUUGACCAUAUACAAUAAUGUCUGUGGGUUUUUAAAAUAUGUAUAUGUAUAUAUAGAUUGAAAACACAACAAUGGCAUAAAAGUCAAGAGGGGAUUCUUGGAGUUAAAAUGUUUUAAGAUCAUUGCAUUAUCUUGAAAGAAGGUUAUUUCUUUAGGCUGCUCCUGAAAAUAGAAUUGACUGUCAAGUGGGUGUGCACUGGUAAAGGAUUUUGUUUUGUUUUUUGUUUUUUUUUUUGCUUUUUGUCCCCAAAUCCUCCCAGUACACAGUUGUAUAUUUUAGUUGUGGGUCUUUCUAGUUGUGGCAUGUGGGACGCCACCUCAGCAUGGCCUGACGAGCAGUGCCAUGUCCACGUCAAGGAUCCGAAUCGUUGAAACCCUGGGCCGCUGAAGCCGAGCAUGCAAACUUAACCACUCGGCCACAGGGCCGGCCCCGAUUUUGUUAAGUUGGAUUGAAGAUGGUUUCACUGAGGAUUAGCACUCCCCAGCCGAUUCCCCUGAUGGAACAUUUGAAGCAGCAAAUUUCUAUACCUGGGCCACCGCCAGGCAGCAAUAACAACCUUCAGAAGCAAACCUGUUGGUCUCGUCAGCACUCAGAUUGCACUGCUUUUUGUGAAGCCCCCGUGUGCUCUAAUGGUGAUGGAGAUCUCGCCUGCCAUGCAGACCACGGAAGGAAAAUUGGAGGGAGCUUGGGUGUGCGUCUGGAGAAUAGCACUGUGAUGCCUCAGAGCACGCAGUGUGCCAGGCACUGUGUUAGGAGCUGGGAAUUCAGCAGUGAACAAAACUCUCCAAAAUCCUGCCCUUGUGGACUGACCUUCUGGUGGGGAGACAAAUAAUACAUAAGCAGCUGAAGUUUUUGAAGCACUGCACCGGGGUCUGCUCUGUUUACAAGGAGAAGCUCAUUUUCAAACAGUAAACUCAUUUCCUUGGGAAAUUCUUCCUUUUGUACUGAGGAGAAAGGGAAAAAAGAAAAAAUUGGAGUCUUCUGGGAGGCUCUUUGAGGCUGACGAGCGACGCCUCUCAGUGGAGAGAUGGAAGGACUUCUUAGGCCACCUUUACCUGGGACGUGUAGGAGACCAGGCAUCCACGCCUUCUGAGUGUCCGUGAACCCCCUAAAGUUGUACACAAAAUUUGGGGUGCAAAUGUGAUUUUUUUCUGAAAAAAUGGUCCAGAGCUUUCAUCAGGUUCUCAGAGGAUUCUUUGCUCAUAAAAGGUUAAGGUCCACUGGGUUGGGCCUGUGUUUUCUCAAAGUGUUUGAAGUCAGAAGAUGACCUGCAACAGGACCACUGGGGGAGCUGGUUAAAAAUUCAUAUUCUGGGGCCCCACCCCCAGUCUUCUGAAUUAGAAUCUCUAGGGGGAUGGCCUGGGACUCUGAAUCUUUAACUACUUCUCUGAUUUGGUUAUUUGGUGAAAUUUCUGAAUUAGCUAGGUUUCAAAUGUUUAACAUCACCUGUUAGAAUAAGAUCAACAAUCACAGUGUAGGGAAGUACUUACAUUUACCCAAAUAGGCCAGCUCAACUACUUACUAGCUGUGUAACCUUGGCAAACUGUGAAUCUCUCUGAGCCUUAGUUCCCUCAUCUGCAAAUAAGGGGCCACGUAAUUUGUCUGUUUUGAGAUGAUAUUGCCUAAUACAUUGUAGGAGUCCAAGAAAUAUUAUUUACUAUUCAUAGCUUCUCUUAAACACCAAGUAUUCUCCAAACUCUCCAGGUCUAAUGUUUCUUUUUUUGAGUGCUUUAUGAGGCUUUUUUUCAUAAAGGGAUUGUCAAAAAAUGAAACAAAACAGAUUAAUCAUUUUCUACAAUGAUCCACUAGCCAUGUGUAAAGGGGUUUUGUUAUGCCGUCAAAUAUGCCUGAACUGUAAACUAUAAACUGAAAUUUUGUCUCAACCUAACAGAAAAAUUAGCAACAUUUCUAUUCUGCAGGUUCUACCAUAGUGAUUUUAGCAAAUGGAAAGCAUAAAUACCAGAACUGACCAAUAAGGACAAAGUCUUCCGUGCUUAAUAAUCACAGUAUUGACAGUGUUUGAUUUAAUUGAAAAUCUACUCACUAGUACAUCUUCAGGAGCAAACAGCAAAAAGGAGAAAAAAAGAAAUGCCUAUUUUUGUAAAACCAGUUGUAAAAUCCUGCUUGGUAUGAACAUGCUCCCUGACCCCACCCCCAUGCACACACACUGGCUUGUUUUGAGCAAAUUCCUCCCUUCUGGUGAUUUUGCAACUCUAUUCUACCACAGCUGUAUGUUUUCUACGAUUGGAAAGGCAUUUGCACAAAUGUUCAUUCUUACAUACCAAGGAAUAUUUACCCUGGUUCGUGAUGUAAGCAGAAAAUCUGAAGGAAAUACGAUGCCUAAAUAAAAACAGCAAACUCUUCUAAUUCAUCUUCCCAUUUCAUUCACUAAAGAAUCUAGGAAUUUAUCUCUGGUGCCUUUUUUGAGGUUAGACAUUUAUUUUUGUCACUGGUGGAAGACUUGUUUCGAGCAUAAAAAAUUGUGGUUCUGUGAAGAACUGGUAUUCAAGAGGGAGAAUGCAGCGGUCUGCUUACCUUAAAUUUAUCAUCUUAUUCUUAAAUCUAUUUAUCAAAAUUUUCUUGAAUAGGAUAAGCUCAGGUUUUGCAUUCUUUGAUUGCCAUCUGCUGGUGGUCCUCCAUACGAGGAAAUAAAAAUUCCCAGGAAGACUGCAACAACCUGGUUAUUGCUUGAUUUAGGUAGCUCUUGCAACCUCUGAAAGAACGAUAUUUUUAAUGCCCACGAUGAUAGAAG
rnacentral:lncRNA from 1 species